UUCUCUUCUUAGUAGCUGGUGCAGCGCUGUGUUUUUGACUUUCAGCCUGGGAACAGUGCUGAUAACACCAGUGUUUUUGGUUGUUGCUCAGUAAUGUUUACUCUGACCAAGGACUUUCUAAGUCUCAUGCUCUACCAGGGAGAAGGGGAAGCCGGGAGGAAGCAGAGACAGGACACCUGACCCAAGCUAGACAAAGAAGUAUUCCAUAUCACAACACGUCAUGCCCACUAUAUAAACUGGGGGCAGUUACCCAGAAGGGUUAAAUCACUGCUCAGGUCGGGCUGGGUAUCAAUUGGUGGUGGGGGGAGGGGCAAAGGAGCAAAAUGGCCAAAGUGUGAGAUGCAGCAUGCUGCCAUGUGUUACCAGGUACAGUGCUUGCUCACCCUGCUGCAUCUACCAUGUAUGUGCUGGAAAAGCCACUCAAAUGAUUUGUAACAAAAUAGCUGAAUAUGUCUCUGCCAAGGAUCAAGCUAUACCACGCAGUACUGCAGGUCGAAUUGAGGCUCUCAACAAAGCAAAAUGCAGCAGCACUGUUUGUUUACUCUUCUGUAAAAGGACCACUCAAGAGUACAAAACUCUCUCCACUGCCAUGA